ACACCUACGGGGGGCAGCAGUGGGGAAUAUUGCACAAUGGGGGAAACCCUGAUGCAGCGACGCCGCGUGGGGGAAUGAAGGUCUUCGGAUUGUAAACCCCUGUCAUGUGGGAGCAAAUUAAAAAGAUAGUACCACAAGAGGAAGAGACGGCUAACUCUGUGCCAGCAGCCGCGGUAAUACAGAGGUCUCAAGCGUUGUUCGGAAUCACUGGGCGUAAAGCGUGCGUAGGCUGUUUCGUAAGUCGUGUGUGAAAGGCGCGGGCUCAACCCGCGGCCGGCACAUGAUACUGCGAGUCUAG
rnacentral:rRNA from 1 species